GAGAGGGGUGCGGAUUGAGGCAAUUGUGCGGUUACGGGGGCAUUCACCUGCUGACAAUCAUGAGCGAGGAAUAAGCAGGAUGGUGCGUUGCAUUGGGACGAGAAUCUAUGCUGGGAUCCUUGACGCGGUCUCACCUCCUGCUCCUGCGCCUAUUCCCGCCCCGCAGCUGGGCCACCGCCCUGUUCUGCACCAUCCUGGCCUCCAACUUGCUGGGUCUGGUGCCCACCAACGAGGCGCCCACCUCCGGCCUGGGCUUCGCCACCGGCCUGGGUGUGAGCGUGUGGGCCACCGCCACCACCCUGGGUCUGUACAAGCUGGGCUUCUCCUUCCCCGGGCACUUCAUCCCUGGUAGGAACGGGCGGGUGCGGGAGCCAACGCAUUGAAGGUUGUGGAGCAGCGGGUUUGUGUUUGCACAGGUCAGCACCGCGUGCGGGGUGUGCCGGGUAUGCACGGCAUGUGCUGGGUGCGUGCACGCCAACACCGAAUGGCAAAACUUGUGCCUGACUAGUUGGUUGUUGUCCUUGCCGACCGCAGGCGGCACCCCCUGGCCCAUGGCCUUCAUCUUCGUGCCCCUGGAGACCAUUUCGUACACCUUCCGUGCUGUUUCCCUGGGUGUCCGUCUGUGGGUCAACAUGCUUGCCGGACACACGCUGCUGCACAUCCUGACGGGUGAGUCGCUGCCGUUCGCACAGCUGCACUGUAAACUACAGAUUAGGUGCGCUCUCUGGGACCCUGCGACGCCACACCUACACCGCCUGCUUUCCAGAACCCACCUGGCUGCCACCCCGCCUCCCCACGCCGUCUCUCUCAACCGGUACUCUUCCUUGCAGGCAUGGCGCUGGCGCUGCCCUUCUCGCUGUCGUUCU
rnacentral:lncRNA from 1 species